AGUAACCGAAGAUAACUCUCGGAUCGAGGGUAGGGUUGGUAACCAGGCGCACGCCACCCCCUCCCGGCAGCCAAGUGUCGUACAAGCCCCCCCAGAACAUGGCUUUGCCUACCAACAGGAACGCGCCAAUUCCCAGGGCAAUGAGAUGAUAGCCGAUGAUGCUAGUCAUCUUAUCCUUGUCCGACCA
rnacentral:antisense_RNA from 1 species